ACCUUAACUGGCCGCCGGGGGGCUUACGCCCCCGGGCCCGCGCCCGCCGAAGACACCCUCGAACUCUGUCUGAAGAUUGUAGUCUGAGUGAAAAUAUAAAUUAUUUAAAACUUUCAACAACGGAUCUCUUGGUUCCGGCAUCGAUGAAGAACGCAGCGAAAUGCGAUACGUAAUGUGAAUUGCAAAUUCAGUGAAUCAUCGAGUCUUUGAACGCACAUUGCGCCCCCUGGUAUUCCGGGGGGCAUGCCUGUCCGAGCGUCAUUGCUGCCCUCAAGCACGGCUUGUGUGUUGGGCCCCGUCCUCCGAUCCCGGGGGACGGGCCCGAAAGGCAGCGGCGGCACCGCGUCCGGUCCUCGAGCGUAUGGGGCUUUGUCACCCGCUCUGUAGGCCCGGCCGGCGCUUGCCGAUCAACCCAAAUUUUUAUCCAGGUUGACCUCGGAUCAGGUAGGGAUACCCGCUGAACUUAAGCAUAUCAAUA
rnacentral:rRNA from 1 species